rnacentral:rRNA from 1 species
ACCCCUACGGGGGGCAGCAGUAAGGAAUAUUGGUCAAUGGGCGGAAGCCUGAACCAGCCAUGCCGCGUGCAGGAAGACUGCCUUAUGGGUUGUAAACUGCUUUUGUCCAGGAAUAAACCUAGAUACGUGUAUCUAGCUGAAUGUACUGGAAGAAUAAGGAUCGGCUAACUCCGUGCCAGCAGCCGCGGUAA